rnacentral:lncRNA from 1 species
UUUGCUUUUUACCAUCUCUGCAUGCUUGACACAGGAAUUGCCUCACAGAGCAUAGGCAGAAUUUAAUUCACUCUCUUUCUCCCAUCUGCAUUGCAAUUGAAUGCAUGGCAGCUGAGUUAAUUUCAUUUAAUUUAGAAGUUUGGUGUCAGCAUCUAUAUCUGAGCUGGUCUUAUAACCUUUCUUAAGCAGAAGCAUGAGAAAAAAAACAUGAGAAGCAUGAGGGGAAAAAAAAAGGCAAAAAAAAAAAAAAGGCAUUUACUGGACAUGAUCAUCAUCUUAAGUGUUGAAAGUGUUGGUGGUGAAUGACAACUCAGCAGCAAUCAGUUGUCCUUCCAAGGAGCACCAGCACCAGAGGACAACCCUUCCCUACCUGUCUGAUGGAUGGUAGGCCAAUUCCUUAAGUGCCUUAUCAGGUGUGGUGAGUAUAUAAAAUUUAAUCACAGUUGUUAUAUGUAUCCCAGCCAAUAAAUCAUUGUUUUAUUCUUUAAAUUGUGUAUAAUCUGCUGGCAGUGAGUUGUGUGCCUGUCCCACCACCCAAAUAAAGAUAUGAAGGGUGUGACUCCGCUGCCAAACAGAGGUGUGAGUCCCCAUAAAAAUUCAGAAAACUCCAUAAAUAGAACUCCCAGCAUGAAGGUGCUGCUGACAGAACAGGAGUUGGAAUGACAGCCAUGAAAAGUGCACUGUGGAUACCCCAGAGGCUUCACAGAAAACUGAAACCGUAUGUUUGCUGCUGAGGUGACUGGGAAAAGUGAUUGGCCUCAAGCUGCAUGGACGUGUUUGAUAAACUGAUUAAACAGUGAGGAUUUAGGGACAUGGGAGAGACUUCUAAGUAAGCUAAAUGCUCUGAAAUUGAAAGAUGCUUGCAUCUCUGCCCAGGGCGCUGCUGUCAUAUAGUCAUGAAGGUUUGCAGCUGCCUUAACAGGUGCUGAAUAUUGUUCCCCAAGAUAGAUUAAUUUGUGUCCUUGGAAAUAAAACCUUAAGAAGACGUAGACA